rnacentral:rRNA from 1 species
UACAGAGGGGGCAAGCGUUGUUCGGAAUUACUGGGCGUAAAGGGCGCGUAGGCGGCCUUCUAAGUCGAACGUGAAAUCCCCGGGCUCAACCCGGGAACUGCGUCCGAUACUGGAAGGCUUGAAUCCGGGAGAGGGAUGCGGAAUUCCAGGUGUAGCGGUGAAAUGCGUAGAUAUCUGGAGGAACACCGGUGGCGAAGGCGGCAUCCUGGACCGGCAUUGACGCGUGAGGCGCGAAAGCCAGGGG